rnacentral:snRNA from 1 species
GGAUGUGAGGGCGAUCUGGCUGCGACAUCUUCACCCCAUUGAUCGCCAGGGUUGAUUCGGCUGAUCUGGCUGGCUAGGCGGGUGUCCCCUUCCUCCCUCACGGCUCCAUGUGCGUCCCUCCCGAAGCUGCGCGCUCGGUCGAAGAGGACGACAUCCCCGAUAGAGGAGGACCGUUCUUCGGUCAAGGGUAUACGAGUAGCUGCGCUCCCCUGCUAGAACUUCCAAACAAGCUCUCAAGGUGCAGAAGGGUGUCUAAUAUAAGCUCCUUGCAGAUUAGAGGUGCUC